rnacentral:rRNA from 1 species
AGAGUUUGAUCCUGGCUCAGGACGAACGCUGGCGGCGUGCCUUAUACAUGCAAGUCAAGGGGGUCCGACGUUAAGUCGGACAACCGGCGAACGGGUGAGGAACACGUGGGAACUAAGCACAAGUUGAGAAUAACCUGUCGAAAGAUGGGCUAAUACUCGAUGUGGUCGCAAGACUAAAGGAGCAAUCCGCUUGUGAACAGGCCCGCGUCCUAUCAGCUUGUUGGUGGGGUAAUGGCCUACCAAGGCGACGACGGGUAGCUGGUCUGAGAGGAUGAUCAGCCACAAUGGGACUGCGACACGGCCCAUACUCCUACGGGAGGCAGCAGUAGGGAAUUUUGCGCAAUGGACGAAAGUCUGACGCAGCGACGCCGCGUGCAGGAUGAAUGCCUUCGGGUUGUAAACUGCUUUUAUAGGGGACGAAUUUUUGACGGUACCUUAUGAAUAAGAGGUUGCUAACUCUGUGCCAGCAGCAGCGGUAAUACAGAGACCUCAAGCGUUGUCCGGAUUUAUUGGGCGUAAAGCGUUCCGAUCGGCGGUUUCACAAGUCUGUGGUUAAAUCUAGAGGCUCAACCUCUAACCUGCCAUGGAAACUGUGAGACUAGAGGGGCAAAGAGGUGCUUGGAACGAACGGUGUAGCAGUGAAAUGCGUUGAUAUCGUUCGGAACACCAAUAGCGAAGGCAGAGCACUGGGUGCCUCCUGACGCUGCUAGGACGAAAGCGUGGGUAGCGAAUGGGAUUAGAUACCCCAGUAGUCCACGCCGUAAACGAUGAUAACUAGACACGAGAGAGUAUCGACCCUUUUUCGUGUCGAAGCUAACGCGUUAAGUUAUCCGCCUGGGGAGUACGGCCGCAAGGCUAAAACUCAAAGGAAUUGACGGGGACCCGCACAAGCGGUGGAGCAUGUGGUUUAAUUCGAUGCUAAGCGAGGAACCUUACCUGGACUUGACAUUCAGCUGCAAACCUCAGAGAUGAGGUCGCCUUCGAGGGUGCUGAACAGGUGAUGCACGGUUGUCGUCAGCUCGUGUCGUGAGAUGUUGCCUUAAGUGGCAGAACGAGCGCAACCCCCAUUCUAUGUUACUGUGUCAUAGAAGACUGCCAGGGUUUAACCUGGAGGAAGGUGGGGAUGACGUCAAAUCAGCGUGUCUCUUACGUCCAGGGCUACACACGUGCUACAAUGGGGUGCAACAAAGGGACGCCAAGCCGUAAGGUGGAGCAAAUCCCAUCAAACCACCCCCCAGUUCGGAUUGAGGGCUGCAAUUCGCCCCCAUGAAGUUGGAAUCGCUAGUAACCGUAGAUCAGCCUCGCUACGGUGAAUACGUUCUCGGGUUUUGUACACACCGCCCGUCACACCAUGGAAGUGAGUAGUACCCAAAGCUUCAGCUUAGCUGGAGUUAAGGUAAGAUUCAUGACUGGGGUGAAGUCGUAACAAGGUAACC